rfam:Oryza sativa (indica cultivar-group) chromosome 11, whole genome shotgun sequence.
UAAAAAACAAAUCCUAGGUUUUCGUGUCCAACGUUUUGACCGUCCAUCUUAUUUGAAAAAAUUAUAAAAAAAUUAAAAAGACAAGUCACGCAUAAAGUAUUAAUCAUGUUUUAUCAUCUAACAGCAAUGAAAAUACUAAUUAUAAAAAAAUUUCAUAUAAAACGGACAGUCAAACGUUGGACAUGGAAAUCCAGUGUUUAUCUUUUU